CUAAAAAACGUGAGAAACAACAUGUUUUUCGUAUUGAAAUUGCUGUUAGUAUUAUUAUUAAAUAUACAUGCGCGUAUAUAACGCAAGAUAUCGAAACAAUAUUAUUGCCAGCAUUGAAUUCGACAAGCGCAGAAGAAAUACCACUAACUCUGAAAGUUUUUGGAACACAAAUUCAGUUGAACUUGCAUACCAACAAUCAUAUAGUAUCGUCCUUGCUUAAAGAAUGGAAAUAUGACGCAAAAAUGAUCACAGAAGAAUUAUCGCUAUUAAACGCUAUUAAACUCAUCUCUCAUUGCUGCUCAUGAGAUCGGUCAUGUUUUAGAAAUGGAACACGAUUCCGAUUGUACAAAACUAUGUGACCCAAACAAGUACAUAAUGUCAUCUGAAAAAUCACGUCAAGGUCAAGUAACAUGGUCCGAGUGCAGUCGUAAUAUAGCUGAAGGACUCUGGGAAACAAAAAAGUGCCUUCGAGAUCGUACGAAAAAUCUCGAAGACGCAUAUGACCAUGCGCGGUAUAAAAAUUUACCCGGAAGACAAUGGUGCGCCAAAGCACAAUGUGAAAUACAUUUUCGCGACAAGGAUGCGAACGUCGUCUCAUUGCUUGAUAUAUGUAAAACUUUGCAAUGUAAAACGCCACACCGAGAUGGGUAUAACUUCAUCGGAUCAGCGUUGGAAGGCACUUAUUGCGCACCCGGGAAAGAAUGUUGAAGCGAAGAAUGCGUGCCCGAUCUGCAACCGCCUCUCGAUUAUUGUGAAGAUGAUAACUGGAGUGAAUGGAAAGAAAGCCCCUGUCGAAGUAGUUGCUUGGAGAAAUCUAAAGGCGUAAAAGUCAGACGACGUUCUUGCAAACAUGGAAUUCGCAGAACGGCGAGUUGCGAAGGACCAUAUUACGACGUGGUUCUGUACGAUGACUCGAUGCUUUGCACUGAAAAUCGCACGACAACCUCCCAGUUAACUACCGAUAAAUGCAUUAAAAUCAACGAUUAUCUAAAGCAUGAAUUCAGUAUUGAACUGGAAAGUGGGCCGGGAGUUCAAGUCCUUCAUAAUGUCGCGGAACCGUGGAAAGCCUGUACUAUACACUGCCGUAAAAAAGAUUCACCAACUCUUUACGCAUUUCGCUUCGAAAUGAUCAGCUUUAAUAUGGACCCAUACUUUCCAGAUGGAACGUGGUGUCACAAUGAAGAUGGCCAAGAUUAUUACUGCCGCCAACAUUACUGUGUGCCGAAAAGCGAGUCUUAAGAAUAAUUGUCGGAAGAUUAUCAACGAGUGUAAAAGAAAAUUGAGAAAAAAAAACGCGUUAAUUAAUCUAGAAUAGUUGGUCCAUUCGUUUGAUAUGAAUAUUCAAUAGGUCGAUCUGUUAACAUCCGUUUUGUAGAUGCAUCUAUCAUGCAUAUCUUGUUUGAUGAAGAAAAGUGGACAAAGAAUUUUGUCAAAUUAUUAGCAUCUAAAAUGAAAUACGUCGAUUAGCAUUAUUAAA